GCAGCUCUCAUCAUCUUACAACACAAGAUAAAUCCCUAGAGACAAUUCACAUCAAAGAAAUAACAAAGUAAUGAAGGAUAUUAUCUAAAGUGGAAGGGAAGAGAACAUUAAUUUCAGUGUGGGCAGCAAAAGAUCAGCCCCCAACUAAAAAAGGCACCAGCAAUCAAUCAGAGAAGCCAGAGAGAGAGGCUGAGCCCCAUCCUUCAGAGCAGCUAGAGAGAGAGGAUGACAGAGAGACAGUACAACAGACCCAGACAGAGACGGCAACAAGAAAAGACAAGGAGGGCAGAGGUUAAGGUGGCCGUGUUAUUGGUUGAGCACAAUGUGCCGCUGGCGGUGGCAGAUCACCUGUGGCCUCUGUUCGUGGAGUGUUUCACUGAUUCCUAAAUUGCUAAAGACGACAAGUGUGCCCUCACAAAGACCAUCGGUAUAAUUAACAAAGC
rnacentral:lncRNA from 1 species